UGUACUGGCAGAGAGUUGAGUACUGUCUGGACUUUGGUAUUGUUAUUUUUAUGAGACAUCGCCUCUCUGGUAUUUUGUAAAUACACUUCCCUAAGCUUUUGACUGGUUUAAUAAAGAACUGUCUAUAGCUAGGCGGGAGAGGAAAUGCAGGAAUCUGGGCAGAGACAGGAACUGUGGAAAGAACUGAGAGGCAUUGAUUUGCCAGGCAGACAUGGAGGAAGUUGGACAUACUGGGACUGAGGAGAGGUAACAGGCCACGAGGCAAAUUCGGAAUUGUAUAAAUGGGUUAAUUAAGUUAUAUGAGUUAGUUGGGAAAUAGCCUAAGCUAAGACCUAAGCUUUCAUGGAUAAUAUGUCUCCAUGUCUUUAUUUCAUUCACAGGUGGUCCAAAGAAGUCUGUCGAUAAAUGGCACCCAAUAUGGAGCGUGAACCCAUGACCCUGGGAUUAAGACUCAUGCUUUACUGAGUUAGCUGGGUGGGAGGCUAGGUCCCUUUAAGAGAGAGAGCAGAGGCCUGUGAGCAGCAGGUAGUGAGUGGGGAACUGGAGCCUCAGUGUACCCUUGCCAGCGCCCCCCACCCCCACAGGCGAGCAGCUUCCCGGGCUCUGGUGUUUGCACUGUGGCCAGCAGGAGUGUGGGCCUGCCACAGUACAGGCCCAGCGACAGCUCAGAGCUGGAGUGGGUAGGCGCAGCUCCUCGGCGGUGCCUGCAGUAGGGCAAACAGUAGCUCCAGCUCCUAAACCAGCAAGGACAGCCCACGAGGCAGAGCUGAAGGGGAGAACCAACCUCUAGACACACAAGCUGGUCUGAGGAGCCCUGAGAUGCACAGAGAGGCAGAAGGAACAUUUUUCCUGAAGCUGAGGGGAGUGUGUUGCACUCUUUUUCAAACUCAUUUUAUUUGGGGUAUUUUAGUCUCUACCUCCCUUCCGCCAACCCUUUAGCCCCAGAUAAGAGAGAGGAGGUUAGUAGGGAGAGGGGCCGCAGACUUCUCCUGACUGUUGAGGGUCAAUGGGUUCUUCUGGAGCUAUACCAACCCACACCAACAGCAAAUGCAGCAAGCAGGCUCUUCUAUGUCCUCCAAGCCAGUGUGCUGAGACAUUUCUCUCCUCUGUCUCUUCCAGGCCAGUGUGCUGAAACAUUUCUCUCCUCUGUCUCUUCCAGGCCAGUGUGCUGAGACAUUUCUUCCUGUCUGUCUCCUCCCAGCCACUACACCGUUCAUCUCUGGUCUCUCCAAACUGCCAACACUUCUUUUUGGGCUCUCAUAUUGAUUACAUUCCUCAGAGCCCUAGACCACGCACGAGGCAGGGUGUUACCAGCUGGCAAAGACCACGCCCCACAGGAGGCAGUUAUCAGCUGUGGACAAACUAAACCCAAGCUAAAAUCCCACACGGGAUUAAGACAAAAACAUAUUUUCACAAAAUAACUGAGUGUUUAAAAAACUAAAACUUCCAUUGCAGAGGUAGGGGAGGAGGGGGAUGGGAAAGGACCGUGGGACUGAGAAGCCCCAAACGUCUAAACUACUAAGGUAGUAAGUCUGAAAACAGAGAAAGAAACUGUUAAAAAAAAAUCAUUGAAAGAAAUAAUUGAUUUGAAAAUACUAAAGUGAAGUCUCUAAAGGAAGGAGAGAGAGACUAAAACUUUUUUUCUGUGUUAAAAGAUGGAGAAUAGAAUGGCAGAGAGCAUUUAGAUUGUGUAUAAUUUUGUUUUGAUUUCAUCGUAAAAAUAAUUACAUAUUCAGUAAUGGUUACAAUUUUACAUAGCCUCUUUAAGAAAAAGCUGAGCAAAGUAGACUUAGUCAAGGAAAGGACUGAGGACCGGAUUACUAGAUUAAAGGCUAUAGAAUGGAGAUUCGACAAUUCUUUAAAUCAGAAUAAAGAAUCUUCAGAAGAAUCUAAUCUGGAACCUACAGUGACAGCAAAAAAGGUAGUUCCAGGUGAGAGAAAUCCACUAAGGCUUGAGGAAUUUGGAUGGCAGCCCACAGACGUGCUAGACUUAAGAGUUUAAAGAAGCAAUAAUGUCUUAUGGCUGUAUUUAACUUACGUUAAACAGAUACUUAAUAAUUGGCCCAUGCAAAAUCAUAUAAUUCUAAAAUAUUGGAGAGAUUUGAUGAUAGCCAUAUUAAAACCUGGCCCUCAACUGCAAAGGCUAACAUGGUGGAAAGAUGAGGCUUCAAUUAUGGAGCAAUGAAACAGGACUAGGGGCGUUGAUAUGGUCAAGGAGCAGUUAUAGUUGAAGGUCAGUCUUCUUUUUUUUUAAAUUAUUUAUUUAUUUAUUUUGCAUAUAAGUGUGCUCUAUCUGUAGAUCAUUUGCAUGACAGAGGAGGGCAUCAGAUUCCAGUAUAGAUGGUUGUGAGCCACCAUGUGGAUGCUGGGAAUUGAACUCAGGACCUCUGGAAGGACAGACAAUGCUCUUAACCUCUGAGCCACGUCUCCAGCCCUGAAGUGAGGCACAUGUGCUUCUUGAAGGACCCCCACUGUACAUCAAAGAUGAUGGGCAUCAAGGAACCUCCAUAUGGAGUUUGCUUCAAAAGUGGCACUACCAGCUACUGAGCAGAAAUCUGCCCUUUCCUCAACUUCUGACAACAUGCUGGACGAACUGUGGACAAGCAGGGCACUGGGAAGUCAACUACUCAACUUUGCCAAGACAAGGGCUAACUGUAACAUCCAGUGGAAAACUCAUCCAGCGAGACCAGGAGCCUUGCCUAGCUUGCACUGGCCUCAACCUUGAUUGCUCUGUCCAUUCCUGAGAGAAACUGAACCUUUGAUCUCAGGGUCCCUCCGCCCUUCACCUGCAAGUUGAUAGCUGCAUUCCAGACUACCACUGGAUGAAGACUGAAAGCUUGCUCUGCACUUCCUGUUUACUCCGUCCAAAGAAGGUCCUGUUGUAGUCUCUUCCUAGAGCCUGAGCAAUGCCAGCAAUGCCAAAAAACCAAACAAGAAGUGAUGGCGCACGUCUUCGGUCCCAGCACUUGGGAGGCAAUGGCAGAGGCAGGCUGGUUUCUGGGAGUUCAAGGUCAGCCUGAUCUACACAAUUUGACCCUUCAUGUGUGUGUGUGUGUCUGUGUAUAUGUUGUGGGGGUUAACAAAAUAAAAGACAAGAUGUUGGAAUCAA